UACGUAGGGGGCAAGCGUUGUCCGGAAUUAUUGGGCGUAAAGAGCGUGUAGGCGGCCAGAUAAGUCCGCUGUGAAAUCUCGAGGCUCAACUUCGAGCUGUCGGUGGAAACUAUCUGGCUAGAGUCCGGAAGAGGAGAAUGGAAUUCCUGGUGUGAGCGGUGAAAGUGCGCAGAUAUCAGGAAGAACACCCGUGGCGAAGGCGGAUCUCUGGGCCUGUCCUGACGCUCAGGCGCGAAAGCGUGGGGAGCGAACCGG
rnacentral:rRNA from 1 species